UACAUCCUCAUCAUCUCGAUCAAGAGCUCCGUGAUCCUCUUCAGCGCCAUUAUUAUCAUAUAUGGUGUACUGGAAUGCCUGGCUCAGAUUAUUUGCUAAAGCUGCUACAUCAUAAUCUCUGUUAUGAACAUCUUCCUCGUCGCUGUCUCUUGUCCUAUCUAGUAAUGCAGUUGGCCGGCCACAAGCCCAUCGAUAGACAUUUUCGAGUGUAUUACGCUCCUGUAAGACAGUAGUGUGCCAAUCACUCCAUUCCAUAUUUUUCUGGAGUAAAGAGAACCCAUUAGCAGAAGCGGAGCUGAAACUUGUGCACAAAAUCAUGUGCCAGAUAAAAGUAAUUGAA
rnacentral:misc_RNA from 1 species